rnacentral:rRNA from 1 species
CGGGGUGAGUAACGCGUGGGUAACCUGCCUCACACAGGGGGAUAACAGUUGGAAACGGCUGCUAAUACCGCAUAAGCGCACAGUACCGCAUGGUACAGUGUGAAAAACUCCGGUGGUGUGAGAUGGAUCCGCGUCUGAUUAGCUAGUUGGCAGGGCAACGGCCUACCAAGGCGACGAUCAGUAGCCGACCUGAGAGGGUGACCGGCCACAUUGGGACUGAGACACGGCCCAA